rnacentral:lncRNA from 1 species
CAGAUUUUUGUUCACUGAUGAACAUUCGUCUGACACAUGGCGCAAAAGACUGCAUCCAGCACUUUACAGAUGGCAGAAGUGAAGUCGAUGUUCCGAGAAGUCCUUCCAAAACAAGGGCAGUUGUCUGUGGAAGAUGUAACCACAAUGGUGCUGUGUAAACCCAAGCUCUUGCCCUUAAAAUCUCUGACGCUGGAAAAACUGGAGAAAAUGCAGCAAGCAGCACAGGAUACAGUCCGUCAACAAGAAAUGGCAGAAAAGGCAACGAGCAAAUAAGCCACUAGUUACCACCACUGUAGGGGAUGCCCCAUCUUAACCCCUAACUGUUCGUAACUAGAAACUAUUCUGCAUCUGCAGGCUAGAAAUGCUUAAACUAGACCGUCAACAUUUUAAAACACAAAAUGUGGGUGUUCAAACAUUGGUUUGUGUUCAAAGCAAAACUCUGAAGCAAGUUUCAUGGAAUUUUGAAAGUUUUUAAAAUUAUAAAUUUCUCACUUUCUCAGUUUAUUUACCAUAACUACUGUUAUGAAUGUAAGACAUUAAAUGCAUCUUUUAUGGAUGAAGGAUUUAUUAGAAACAUGAAUCUGAAAAUAAACUUUAAUGUGAAUAUAUUGUUGGGCUUGUACACUACCCAAAAUACACAUAAGCAAGUGUGGGCCACAUCAUGCUGACUGCUACGAAACCUUCAAUAGGUCUGGAGAGAUGGCUCAGAGGUUAAGAGCACUGACUGCUCUCUACCAGAG